ACACGACUACAUUAGAUACCCGUGUAGUCCUAGCCGUAAACGAUACUCGCUAGGUGUCGGCCACGGUGCGACCGUUGUCGGUGCCGUAGGGAAGCCGUGAAGCGAGCCACCUGGGGAGUACGGCCGCAAGGCUGAAACUUAAAGGAAUUGGCGGGGGAGCACAACAACGGGUGGAGCUUGCGGUUUAAUUGGAUUCAACGCCGGAAAUCUUACCGGGACCGACAGCAACAUGAAGGCCAAGCUGAAGACUUUGCCGGAUUUAGCUG
rnacentral:rRNA from 1 species